rnacentral:rRNA from 1 species
GAUGAACGCUAGCGGCAGGCCUAACACAUGCAAGUCGAGGGGUAGAGGAAGCUUGCUUCCUUGAGACCGGCGCACGGGUGCGUAACGCGUAUGCAAUCUACCUUUUACAGAGGGAUAGCCCAGAGAAAUUUGGAUUAAUACCUCAUAGUAUUUUCGAAUGGCAUCAUUUGAUUAUUAAAGUUCCAACGGUAAAAGAUGAGCAUGCGUCCUAUUAGCUAGAUGGUAAGGUAACGGCUUACCAUGGCAACGAUAGGUAGGGGUCCUGAGAGGGAGAUCCCCCACACUGGUACGGCGACACGGACCAGACUCCUACGGGAGGCAGCAGUGAGGAAUAUUGGACAAUGGGCGCAAGCCUGAUCCAGCCAUGCCGCGUGCAGGAAGACGCAUCUAUGGUGUGUAAACUGCUUUUGUACGGGAAGAAACACUCCCUCGUGAGGGAGCUUGACGGUACCGUAAGAAUAAGGAUCGGCUAACUCCGUGCCAGCAGCCGCCGUAACAC